rnacentral:rRNA from 1 species
GUCCACGCCGUAAACGAUGGAUGCUAGCCGUCAGCAAGCUUGCUUGUUGGUGGCGCAGCUAACGCAUUAAGCAUCCCGCCUGGGGAGUACGGUCGCAAGAUUAAAACUCAAAGGAAUUGACGGGGGCCCGCACAAGCGGUGGAGCAUGUGGUUUAAUUCGAUGCAACGCGAAGAACCUUACCAGCUCUUGACAUUCACUGAUCGUUUCUGGAGACAGAUUCAUCCUAGCAAUAGGCAGUGGGACAGGUGCUGCAUGGCU